rnacentral:rRNA from 1 species
UGUGGAAUAUUGCACAAUGGGCGCAAGCCUGAUGCAGCCAUGCCGCGUGUGUGAAGAAGGCCUUCGGGUUGUAAAGCACUUUCAGCGGGGAGGAAGGCGGUGAGGUUAAUAACCUCAUCGAUUGACGUUACCCGCAGAAGAAGCACCGGCUAACUCCGUGCCAGCAGCCGCGGUAAUACGGAGGGUGCAAGCGUUAAUCGGAAUUACUGGGCGUAAAGCGCACGCAGGCGGUCUGUCAAGUCGGAUGUGAAAUCCCCGGGCUCAACCUGGGAACUGCAUUCGAAACUGGCAGGCUAGAGUCUUGUAGAGGGGGGUAGAAUUCCAGGUGUAGCGGUGAAAUGCGUAGAGAUCUGGAGGAAUACCGGUGGCGAAGGCGGCCCCCUGGACAAAGACUGACGCUCAGGUGCGAAAGCGUGGGGAGCAAACAGG